CGGUGUAGCUCAGCUGGCUAGAGCGUACGGUUCAUACCCGUGAGGUCGGGGGUUCGAUCCCCUCCACCG
rnacentral:tRNA from 3 species